AUCUUUUCAUCUUCAUUUCUUUCCAAGCAGGAAUUUAAAGUCCAAGGGUUUGGAAAGCAUCUCGCAGGUCAUCAAUUUCAUAAAGAGGCUGUGAAUCAAGGAGAAAUAAGUGAUCCAAAAGCACUUGUGAGAAUAUGAGACAAGAUAACAAGAUAUCCAAAAUCGAGGGAGCAGGAUGUGGCACUAUUCCGCUGUUUUACUACAUAACAAAGAAACUGUUCUUGAUUUAGGAAGAUCUGAAUUACACAGGACUCAUCUGUCAACUAAAUUCAUCGUAGUAGGAAAGGAACCAAAGUUUAAACACAUUUAUAUGCCGCCCAAUCCCGAAGGACUCCUAUGAUGCUGUUUUUCUGUUCAGGGUGGCACAUAAUCAAUCAAUCACACCUGGAGAGAUAAUGGUGAUACAGAAAUGAAUUCCAGACAUGGACCGAUUGCACUUUCAUCCAAGAGAGAUUUAACUUCUUCAUACCACUGUUCACUAUUGUAUGGGGUAAUAGAAUCUUUUGGAAAGACCAAGCUGUUUUGUAGUUUUUUCUUAAAGUCUUGAAGACAUGUUUUCUUCCCUUUUAUUUUUAGGGCAUAGAGUACCUUUCUCAAGUAUUUGCAGUCUCAUAAUACAUCAACACCUUCAGCAAAUAUAGACACAGGAACUACAAAAGAAGAAGUUUCAGGGGCUGCAUUUUGUAUGUGACAGCAUCUGGGAGAGAAAAAUUAACCUUUCCUUCCUUUGUGUUGACUAUGCUGCCAGUAAUAACUGCACUUUCUUCAUGUAAUUAGAAUUUAAUUUUUGAAUAACAUGAAUUGUAGUUGAUGUUUUUGAUAUUGUUAACAAAUGAUAUUGUCUCUCUGAAUAGAAAAAAAAUUCUCUCUAC